ACGGGGGGCCUACGGGAGGCAGCAGUGGGGAAUAUUGGACAAUGGGCGAAAGCCUGAUCCAGCCAUGCCGCGUGUGUGAAGAAGGUCUUCGGAUUGUAAAGCACUUUAAGUUGGGAGGAGGGUUGUAGAUUAAUACUCUGCAAUUUUGACGUACCGACAGAAUAAGCACCGGC
rnacentral:rRNA from 1 species